AGGUAUAUUUUAAAAAAGAAAUAAUAUGAUUACUGCUUAUUGUUUCUAGCUUUCUGCAAAACAGAAGAAACUAAAAAGAACGUUUUCUGAACAGGACAGCUUUGCGAUAACACAAAGAACUCCACCCAUACUCUGCUUUUGUGCUAUGUUGUAAAUAUUUCAAACCCAGAUAAGUUUGUAUAGUAGCUGACAGAUAUAUUGAUUUUGCAAGUAUAAAUCUUUGAACAAUGUCACUUGCAUUUUUUUUAAAGACCAAAUAAAUUGAAAGAUCUGCAGCCUUGAGGAAGGGAGGAAAGAGUAACCCUCUGUGAAACUUGAGUUAUGUAUUUGCACCACAAUGGUGAAUUAUUUUCAUGUCUAUUGCCUAAAGGCUGACUUCUGUUGAUUUCCUAAACCCUAAAGAACAGAGUCUGAGCCUUCAAGUUUGCAGAUGUCUGAAGCUCUGCAGAACUGACAUUGAUAAGCUUUACCAGCUUGAAAAUAAGCCCUUUCGUAGCUUUCCUAUCAGUAAUUUUCUUUCACGUUCUGGUUUUUCUAAGUGUGGUUGAGUAUCUGACGCCAGGGUCACACAGGCAGCUAUGGCUAACACCAGACUUCUCCGCCCUUGCUCUGCACCUGUGUCUUGUGCACCGGCGGUGGUCUGGGCAGUGUGACUGGUUUAGACGAGGGCCAGGGGUGUCUCUCAUGUCUCUCUAGCUGCCAGGCAGGCCUGAAUCCCAGCAUUCCUGAACACGCACAGUUGAGCUGGUUUCCGUCCGGCCCCUAUCCAUGUAGCUGUGCAUUUUGUUAAUGAAACUCCAUCAUCAUGAAGGCUUCAGACAUCUUCUACAGUCGAAGAUCUCCUUUUACUUACCAGGCAUCUUAUUGAUAGUCAUGAGGUAGAAAUAAGCAGGGCAGGCUUGAUUCAGUUCAAAGUAUUCAGGAAACCCUGGAAUGUAGACAUCUCAUCCUCUGUUGAUGAUAAUCAGGAAGUCAGUCUUUAAAUUCAGAAUUUGGAUUGUCUGUCGAUGAUCACACCUAUUUGCUAGCUCAUUCGUAGAAACUAGAGAGGAGAAAGAUGCAGUGACAUCUUUUGUUCCCUAAGUGCAGAACCAGUCUCUCUACUUGAACCUUAACCUAGCCUAGUUUAUCAAAAAUUAUAAGCCUGGCUUACCAAAAUGUUCAUAAAAAAUAAAGCCAGUCUGGAGGGUUUGCUGUUCUUUGAUGCAAUAUUUCACUACAAUUUUAUGGGUGAAUCUGUAGCUGGUCACACUUUUUUUUUUUUUUUUUCCUGGUGAAAAUACGUUAUAAAGUUGUAUCUGGCAAAAGUGGUUUUCCUAUAGCUCCUUCCUUUUGUGGUAUGAUGGUUCUCUGCACCUUUUUCUGAGAACCCAGAGCUGAACAAGACUAACUGGUAAACACAACUGCAGCAGAGAUCUGGACUGCAGAGCAAUGCCCUCACAAUAAGAAAUUGAUAGGAGCAGAAGUUUUGUUGGGAAGCUCUCUGUUACAGCAAGAUAAGAUGUGUUUUGAGGAACCUCUGAACCUUAGCUAUGUUUAUCCCACAAGCUGUCACCAGUGUGGCCGUGCUGUGAAGAAGUGCAAUCCCGGAUGGGUAGAGGUGUGCUGGUAGAAACCUUUAGCGUAAUUCCACUGCGUCAGCAAAACUUCAAGAAGGAGGCUCAAAUUCUGCAUCUCAGCAGCCAAGAGGUAUGGGUAACACAUCCUGACUGCAGACAAGGGAUAUGCGUAAGUUCAAGAAUAUCAGCCCGCAGGAGGGACGGAGAAGCCAAAGAUGGAGAUGAUGGCCGAAGUCUGCCAGGAGUCAGAGAAGCGCAGCAGCGUGCCAGAUCCUCACCGGAUCUGAGCUCAUCAGCCUGUUAGGAGAUGGACCCGAUGAAUGUUUUGCAGUAGGUGCCUGAGACCCCUGGAACUAUGAGAGAACGUACAAGUUAUUACAAGGUUAUUUGAUAGCUGCCUCGGGACCACCUUGGGGAACUACAGCACUCAGCUUGUCCUCCAUCACCCUGGCCUCGCAGACGGGGAUGGAUGACAGCAUCUGGGAGGGCAUCUCAGUAAUAGCAUAGAGUCGAGCAGCCCACCGGCUCCUCUUCUGCCGGAGUCUGCGGGGAGCACAGGAGGUAUCUGACGUGUGUCCUCGGAAGGGCAGCCCCCAAGAACAACCCCCCCCCCCCCGAGCAAUCCAGCGGAGACCAGCGUGUGUGAAGAGGACGCUCAUUAGAGAUCUUAAGAAGACCCACCCCAUAGGGGUGACAGUGACCAAUCUCAACCGUGUCCACUAGAAAUACCGACAAAUGACGGCGUGGAACGGAAGGCACCGGCGCCCACUGCAUGUCCCAAACUUGCUGCAGGAAGAAGAUGAGAAACAGUGAAAACAAGCUGGAAGGAGAUGAAUUUCAUCACGAUACCUCACGUUCCUCAGCAGACUGAGAACUGCAGAAUUAGCAGCGAUUUCUGCUGCCUGAGUUAAUGGAGUGCCGCUACCAGUCACGGGUUGUCAUCCUCUGAGUAAAGCGCUCCCAGAAGAGGGUUGCUGAUGGGCACUGGUGAGAAACACGACCUGAGGAUUUGCUUCUUGGCUGGGCUGACAAGUAAUCAAGUAGCUGCAUACACCAGAUGGAAACUAACCCGCUGCGCCAAAUCCGGCCUCUUACCACCCUUGUCCUUUGCCUUCCCCGCUUCACCCCAGCUUCUGCUCUCCCAGCCUGACCAGCUCUUUGCUCACUCCCAGUAUGACAUUCUUUGCUCCCAGUCUAAGAGGCUGGACCACCCCAACUCCCCAGUCCCUCCUCCCGACCCCGUUCCUCAACUAGCCCAGCCCUGGGAUCUGGUGUAUCGGUCUGGGAAUUUCUCCACGGUGCGUCUGAGCGGCUCUGUGUCCCCCCACUCCUGAUUUGAACAACGGGGCUGCCGGGACCAGCGGAAGGCAGACAGCCCCCCGCCCCCCUUUUGGGUGCCCAGGCCUCUUACAGCUCAGGGCAGCAGAUGUCUCUCCACAGCUAAUGGGAUUUUUUGGGGAAAGUUUGCCGUUAAAAAUCAAAGUAAUCUUUAUCAAAUGUGCACCGUGAUUUUUCAUACACUUAUUUCACUAGGAUAAAGACAACACGUCCCUGACACAAACGCUAUCUUCUGUUGGAUUUUAAGUCCUUGCACCAAAGUUGCGAGGUGCAGGCUUUGUCACAGAAGACACCAGAAUUUUUAAGUGUAGCACAUUUUACCCUACAGUCUCAGACACGACAGACAUGUCUGAGUUGUUUUAUACUAGUUCCCCUUGAGAAUGUGUGUCAAGUAAAAAGUCCUGAAUGAUACAAUUUUGUAUUGUUUAGAUAGGACGAGGUUGCUACAUUUAAUCUCAUAAAAAGCAUUCUAAUAUCUUUAAUGACCGCUAUACAGACUUUCAUUCCUUAGAGAAGAUAAGGACUGUCCUUGCAAAUAAGAAAAAUUAGAUCCUGCUGAACCAAGGCCUAUGCUCUAAAUAGUUCAAGGUGACCAGGGUACAGCUCAGUCUGUUACGUAAAAUCAUUUGCAAAGGUCAGUAAAAAUUAAGGACAAAAUGAGGUUUUUUUCAAGAAAAAAACGACUCAGUGAUAAGCUCCAAGGACUACGCUGAAAUCACGUCCAGUAAAGAAGAAAACUGUGAAACUAGAUUUAGGGGGACAAAGCUGGGAUGCUGCAGAGUAAGGCUCGCUGAUGAGCCAAAUCAUGGCCUGUUCUGCCCCUCCGGUGCCCCUUACCCUUGCG